UCGUGAGAAGUGCUGCUGGAAGCUGGGCUCAGACACGUGGCCUCUUGGCUCUGUUCGGCUGAAGAACUGAGGCAGCUGAGGAGGAUCCGCUUCCUGCUGAGAGGACAAAUGGAGAGAGUUUUCUGCCCUGAGAUGCAUCAUCCCUGUCUGACCAGUCAUAGCUCGCCGUACCAGAAAGCUUUUUGAGGAAGCUGUAUUAUGAACUGCUCCAAGAAUCUCAUCUAACGGAGGUAGCAAUUUUCUUGAAGAUCAAAGAUGUUGAAGACAAAAACAAGGUUAUUUCUUGGAACAAAGAAUGUGAGCUGCCACUACAAGAUGUAAAGGUCAUACUGAUUUCCAUGGAAGUUUUCUAAAGCAGUAAGCAUAUGCCCAGGUGAUUAAAUUCCUGGCUUCUGAGAAGGGGGUUUAGAAAAAGAAGAAAGGAUACAUGUGCAAAGUCCACUAGUCUCCAGUGUUUUAAAAAGCAAUAAAAAUGUUCAUUGGACUAAGGAAGAAAUACCUUUUAAUUUCCAAUACUAGUUUAAUCAUGGUUUACCAAGGCAAACCAUGAGAUAUUUACACAUCUCAACUUCUUUCCACCCCUGGCCCUAUUUCUACCUUCACAUGCUCUGUUAACUAUAAAAUCUGGGCUGUGUCCUAUAAGUCUCAAACACUCUGAAAGUUGUUCAAGAGAAGAGGAAUGAAAGUGACCACAGUGUACAUUAUGACAGGCUACAAAAUGCUGCAGUAUAAUUGCCUUGUAGUGUCCUCUAAUCUGCAUAGAAACCUCCCAUUCUUCCUUUGUACUGACUCACAUAAAUCUAUGGUUUAAAUGAUACCCACACUAUCUGUAAGCACCUGCAGGUUUCUGUGCCAGUGCUCUAAAGUUCAAUAGAGAAAAGCAGCUAUUUUGUGGGUAUUUUAAAUCAGAGGGGGCUGGAAGGUCAAAGAAGGUGUCAGGAUAUACAGUUGACUCUUGAAUGACAUGGUUUGAACCACACAGGUCCACUUACACAUGGAUUUAAAAAUAAAUACAGUUUAGUACUAUAAAUUUUCUCUUCCUUGUGACAUAUAACAUACAAAAUAUGUGUUAACUUUAUAUUAUCAGUAAGGCUUCUGGUCAACUGUAGGCUACUAGUCAAAAAUUGUAUGGGGAUUUUGGAUGGCACUGUGGGGGUCAGUGUUCCCAACCCCCAUCUUGUCCAAAGGUCAACCAUACAGUGGGACUGGUCAUGGUUAUCAUGAGAAAUCUCAUUACAAAAACCCAUCAAAUGAGCACAGAAGAUGGCAAUGUGGGGCCUUUUGGCCACGCAAGGGAGAGGGCAGCACUCAGAAGACCCUUCUAUGCACAUGAACUUAUCGUGCUCUCAAAGCCAUUGGGCCAACAUUUUCCAAAACAACGUAUCAAAAGAAUUCAACUGAUUGGAAAAACAAAGCUAGGAGCAGCUCUUUAAAAAGAAAAUAAUUUGAUUCAAGUUAUUCUAGGAUUUAGCCCAGCUUUGAUAUGCCAGUGUCCCCUUCAUGUUCGUUUGCUACUUUGAAAAGAUCAGCAGAGAUUUUAACAUGAACAACAGAGUAACUGUAAAACAUGAAUACAGUUGUAUAAUUUCUCAGGCACUGAUGUUUGAUGUCAAGCACUAACUGUAUUGCUUUACUUGGCACUGGAGUACACAGAAUAGUACUUUUUUGUUUGUUGGAAUCUAUAGCUUAGAGUUCUUCAAGUCUUUAUUUCAAGUUUAUAUUAUUAUUAAAACGUCACCCCUAAAAAGCAAUGUUACUCUGGAAAUAGUAACUGCUCAGUUUAUGAACGGGAUUAUGUUUUAUGCACAGUUAUAUUCAGCCAUUUUCUGCAGCCUGCUCAGGUAAGCGCAGAAAGGACAAAAUAAAGCAGUCCCAGAUGGACCAAUCUAGCAUUAGAUAAUUCCAAAGCCACAAGACUAGUUUUAUAUAUGGCACCAAAAAAUCCUAAAUAAAGGACAGUUGGUAUCAUCACUAGCUGGAGGCUAUACCAAGAUCUCUUUCUUCCAAAUUAGUUAGCAGCACACACUGUAAUUAAGACUUAAUAUAUUUAUACAAGGUUUCUGAAACCAAGUAUUAUCCAACUUUCUAAAGCAUUAAUUUCUGGAAAAAACAGUAGUUUGAAUGGCAGACUCAGCUUUGCUUUCAGUUAAUCUAAACCUCAACAUGUAACUUUUUUCUUUCUCAAAUGGCCUAUUUCAAAUACUGUAAGCGAUCUCUAUGGACUCCUAUUCAAAACCCUCAUCUUUAAUUGUUUAAUUUCCUUUCUGCCUCAGAUUUUUAAAAAAGAACAAAGAACUAAAAUCUCACAAAAUAAGAAAAAAAAACGUAAACCAUGGAAACAAUCCUUUUUCCCAAGGAUUUUAUACGCCUUGGGUUUAUGAUCUAAAAAACAUUAUCAUUCAUUCCCAAGGUUUUUUGCUUUAACAUACUCUAAAAUGGAAAAAAAUACUUUCCAAACUUGGCAUUCUCUUACUGCUAACUUUUGUGUGUCUUUCUAGAAUUUUCUUCAAAAUGAACAUAAUUUAAAGCUUACUUUGAGGUCAUCCCCUAAAAUUGUUUAAGAACUUGGUUUAUGAUGGAAUAUUACUCAGCCAUUAGAAACGACAAAUACCCACUGUUUGCUUCGAUGUGGAUGGAACUGGAGGGUAUUAUGCUGAGUCAAUCGGAGAAGGACAAACAUUAUAUGGUCUCAUUCAUUUGGGGAAUAUAAAAAAUAGUGAAAAGGAAUAAAGGGGAAAGGAGAAAAAAUGAGGGGGAAAUAUCAGAAGGGGAGACAGAACA